rnacentral:rRNA from 1 species
GGACUACCCGGGUAUCUAAUCCUGUUUGCUCCCCACGCUUUCGCGCCUCAGCGUCAGUAGUGAGCCAAGAAGCCGCCUUCGCCACCGGUGUUCCUCCCGAGAUCUACGCAUUUUACCGCUACUCCGGGAAUUCCACUUCUCUCUCUCACCCUCUAGUAUGCCAGUUUUCAUUGCAGCCCCCCAGUUAGGCCGGAGGAUUUAACAACAAACUUAACAUACCGCCUACGCGCCCUUUACGCCCAAUAAUUCCGAAUAACGCUUGCACCUCUCGUAUUACCGCGGCGGCUGGCAC